AUGUCUAUUUCUUUGAAAAUCAGUCAGAAUGUAGUUAUAUCAGUGUCCAUGUCAUUAGGAGCAGCAAAGCCUCAGCUGAACCGAAGUUUCUUUGAAUGUACAGUGGCCCACAGAUGCAGCCUAAAGAAGAGACCUGGAACUCUGCCGACGAGGCUAAAGUAUACUGUAAAUGAAUCCAAGGUGGAAAUUAUUCAUGCUACAUCCCCUAUGUUGGAAUCAAGGAGGGCAGACUCAUUCCGUUAUCCUAAAACAGGCACAGCAAGUCACUUUUAAGAUGUCAGAAAUAAUGAUUGAUGUUGAAGGAAGGAUUGUAGAUGUCAUAGACAAGGAACUAAUUCAACCUUUUGAGAUUCUAGUUGAAUAUAUAGCCAGAGUUGGAUGGGUUCCAGAGGAAAAAUAUGUUUGGUCCAUCCUACUAGAUUGUUCCCAAACUUGCCUACAGAUAGUGUUGAUCUCACCUGAAUUAUUUAUCCCCAUAGAAGAUGAUGCCAUGGAAAGGCAGAGUCUCAUUGAGUCGGUGCCUGACUCUGUGACGCCACUCAUUAUCUAUGAGGAAACAACAGACAUCUGGAUAAAUAUCCAUGACAUCUUUCAUGUUUCUCCCCAAAGUCACAAAGAUGAAACUGAAUUUAUUUUUGCCUCUGGAUGCAAAACUGGUUUCCAUCAUUUAUACAAAAUCACAUCCAUUUUAAAGGAGAGCAGAUAUAAAUGAUCCAGUGGUGGACUACCUGCCCCAAGUGAUUUUAAGUGUCCUAUCAAAGAGGAAAUAACAAUUACCAGUGGUGAAUGGAAAGUUCUUGGCCGGCAUGGAUCUAACAUCCAGGUAGAUGAAGUCAGAAGCCUGGUAUAUUUUGAAGGCACUAAACACUCCCCCUUAGAGCAUCACCUAUACUUGGUCAGUUAUGUAAAUCUUGGAGAGGUGACAAGGAUGACCAAUCGUGGCUAUUCCCAUUCUUGCUGCAUCAGUCAGCAUUGUGACUUCUUUAUACGUAAGUCUAGUAACCAGAAGAAUCCACACUGUGUGUCCCUCUACAAGCUGUCAAAUCCUGAAGAUGACCCAGCGUGCAAAACAAAGGAAUUUUGGGCCACCAUUUUGGAUUCAGCAGGUCCUCUUCCUGACUAUACCCCUCCUGAAAUUUUCUCUUUUGAAAGUACUACUGGAUUUACAUUGUGUGGGAUGCUGUACAAGCCUGAUAAUCCACAACCUGGAAAGAAAUUCCCUACUGUGCUGUUCAUAUAUGGUGGUCCUCAGGUGCAGUUAGUGAAUAAUUGGUUUAAAGGAGUCAAGUAUUUUCGCUUGAAUACCCUAGCCUCUCUGGGUUAUGUGGUUGUGGUGAUAGACAACAGGGGAUCCUGUCACCGAGGGCUUAAAUUUGAAGGUGACUUUAAAUAUAAAAUGGGUCAAAUAGAAAUUGAUGAUCAGGUGGAAAGACUUCAAUAUCUAGCUUCUCGAUAUGAUUUCAUUGACUUAGAUUGUGUGGGCAUCCAUGGCUGGUCCUAUGGAGGAUACCUCUCCUUCGUGGCAUUAAUGCAGAGGUGAGAUAUCUUCAGGGUUGCUAUUGCUGGGGCCCCAGUCACUCUGCGGAUAUUCUAUGAUACAGGAUACACAGAGCGUUACAUGGGUCACCCUGACUAGAAUGAGCAGGGCUAUUACUUAGGAUCUGUGGCCAUGCAAGCAGAAAAGCUCCCCUCUGAACCAAAUCGUUUACUACUCUUACAUGGGUUCUUGAAUGAGAAUGUCCAUUUUGCACAUACCAGUAUAUUACUGAGUUUCUUAGAGAGGGCUGGGAAGCCAUAUGAUUUACAGAUCUAUCCUCAGGAGGGACACAGCAUCAGAGUUCCUGAGUCUGGAGAACAUUAUGAACUGCAUCUUUUGCACUACCUUCAAGAAAACCUUGGAUCACGUAUUGCUGCUCUGAAAGUGAUAUAAUUUUGACCUGUGUAGAACUCUGGUAUACACUGGCUGUUUAACCAAAUGAGAAGGUUUAAUCAGUAGAAGACACAGAAUUGAUCAUUCCAUUUUGAUACCUGCCACAUAACAUCUACUCCUGAAAGUAAAUUUGGUGCCAUGCAGGCAUCUAUAGCUUGUGAAUAGUAAUCUAAUGCCUUAUCCAUACAUACACAAAAUUGAAUGAUACCUGUUUCUAAAGGUCCCAGCAAUACUAUGAGAAUU